rnacentral:sRNA from 1 species
GGUAUUCCUUAUCUGUCUAAUGGUUUGUCAGGAGCCUGUCUUCGUGUGUUUUCUUCAUGUAGGAAAAAACACGAAGACAGGCCCAAUCAGGGUUUAGUUGCC